rnacentral:rRNA from 1 species
UACGUAGGUGGCAAGCGUUGUCCGGAUUUACUGGGUGUAAAGGGCGUGCAGCCGGGCUGACAAGUCAGAUGUGAAAUCCCGCGGCUCAACCGCGGAACUGCAUUUGAAACUGUCAGUCUUGAGUACCGGAGAGGUCAUCGGAAUUCCUUGUAUAGCGGUGAAAUUCGUAGAUAUAAGGAAGAACACCAGUGGCGAAGGCGGAUGACUGGACGGCAACUGACGGUGAGGCGCGAAAGCGUGGGGAGCAAACAGG